rnacentral:rRNA from 1 species
UGGGGAAUCUUGGACAAUGGGCGCAAGCCUGAUCCAGCCAUGCCGCGUGAGUGAAGAAGGCCUUCGGGUUGUAAAGCUCUUUUGUCAGGGACGAUAAUGACGGUACCUGAAGAAUAAGCCCCGGCAAACUUCGUGCCAGCAGCCGCGGUAAUACGAAGGGGGCUAGCGUUGUUCGGAAUUACUGGGCGUAAAGCGCACGUAGGCUGAUUGUUAAGUCAGGGGUGAAAUCCCAGAGCUCAACUCUGGAACUGCCCUUGAUACUGGCAAUCUCGAGUCCGGAAGAGGUUAGUGGAAUUCCCAGUGUAGAGGUGAAAUUCGUAGAUAUUGGGAAGAACACCAGUGGCGAAGGCGGCUAACUGGUCCGGUACUGACGCUGAGGUGCGAAAGCGUGGGGAG